GACGAACGCUGGCGGCGUGCUUAACACAUGCAAGUCGAACGGAAAGGCCCUUCGGGGUCCUCGAGUGGCGAACGGGUGAGUAACACGUGGGUGAUCUGCCCUGCACUUUGGGAUAAGCCUGGGACACUGGGUCUAAUACCGAAUAGGACCACGCGCUUCAUGGUGUGUGGUGGAAAGCUUUUGCGGUGUGGGAUGGGCCCGCGGCCUAUCAGCUUGUUGGUGGGGUAAUGGCCUACCAAGGCGACGACGGGUAGCCGGCCUGAGAGGGUGACCGGCCACACUGGGACUGAGAUACGGCCCAGACUCCUACGGGAGGCAGCAGUGGGGAAUAUUGCACAAUGGGCGCAAGCCUGAUGCAGCGACGCCGCGUGAGGGAUGACGGCCUUCGGGUUGUAAACCUCUUUCACCAGGGACGAAGCGUAAGUGACGGUACCUGGAGAAGAAGCACCGGCCAACUACGUG
rnacentral:rRNA from 1 species